GUUGUAUGGUUAAGUGACUAAGCGUACACGGUGGAUGCCUUGGCAGUUGGAGGCGAUGAAGGACGUACUAACUUGCGAUAAGCCUAGUUGAGCCAGUAAGAGGCACUUGAGACUAGGAUUUCCGAAUGGGGAAACCCGGCCCUUUGGGUCAUCAUGCAGUGAAUACAUAGCUGUAUGAAGCGAACGCGGAGAACUGAAACAUCUAAGUACCCGUAGGAAAAGAAAUCAACCGAGAUUCCGAAAGUAGCGGCGAGCGAAAUCGGAUUAGCCCUUAAGCUUUAAUGUAGUUAGUGGAACAUUCUGGAAAGUAUGACGAUACAGGGUGACAGUCCCGUACACGACAACUUAUUUAAAGUGAAAUCGAGUAGGUCGGAGCACGUGAAACUUUGACUGAAUAUGGGGGGACCAUCCUCCAAGGCUAAAUACUCCCAACUGACCGAUAGUGAACCAGUACCGUGAGGGAAAGGCGAAAAGAACCCCUGUGAGGGGAGUGAAAUAGAACCUGAAACCGUGUACGUACAAGCAGUAGGAGCCCAUCACUAAGUUACUUUGGUGAACUCCUAAGUAAGCACAAUGUUUGAAUUAGCGUUAACGUCGACCUAACUUGUUAGCCGACGGUCAACCGCCAAAAUCAAGCAGAGGUAGCUUAGUGAUGGGUGACUGCGUACCUUUUGUAUAAUGGGUCAGCGACUUAUAUUCUGUAGCAAGGUUAACCAUUUAGGGGAGCCGUAGCGAAAGCGAGUCUUAACUGGGCGCUUAAGUUGCAGGGUAUAGACCCGAAACCCGGUGAUCUAGCCAUGGGCAGGUUGAAGGUCAGGUAACACUGACUGGAGGACCGAACCCACUAACGUUGAAAAGUUAGGGGAUGACCUGUGGCUAGGAGUGAAAGGCUAAUCAAACCGGGAGAUAGCUGGUUCUCCCCGAAAUCUAUUUAGGUAGAGCCUCGGACGAAUACUUACGGGGGUAGAGCACUGUUAAGGCUAGGGGGUCAUCCCGACUUACCAACCCUUUGCAAACUCCGAAUACCGUAAAGUACUAUCCGGGAGACACACGGUGGGUGCUAACGUCCAUCGUGGAGAGGGAAACAACCCAGACCGUCAGCUAAGGUCCCAAAGUGUAUGUUAAGUGGGAAACGAUGUGGGAAGGCUAAAACAGCUAGGAGGUUGGCUUAGAAGCAGCCAUCCUUUAAAGAAAGCGUAAUAGCUCACUAGUCGAGUCGGCCUGCGCGGAAGAUGUAACGGGGCUAAACAUACCACCGAAGCUACGGCUGCGAACUUAGUUCGCGGGGUAGGGGAGCGUUCUGUAAGUGGCUGAAGGUGUGCCGGGAGGCAUGCUGGACAUAUCAGAAGUGCGAAUGCUGACAUGAGUAACGAUAAUGCGGGUGAAAAACCCGCACGCCGGAAGACCAAGGGUUCCUAUCCCAUGUUAAUCAGGGUAGGGUGAGUCGACCCCUAAGGCGAGGCUGAAGAGCGUAGUCGAUGGGAAACGGGUUAAUAUUCCCGUACUUGGUAUAAAUGCGAUGGGGGGACGGAGCAGGCUAGGCAAGCAUGGCGUUGGUUGUCCAUGUGAAAGGCUGUAGGCUGGUGACUUAGGAAAAUCCGGGUCGCUAAGGCUGAGAGUCGAGACGAGCCACUACGGUGGUGAAGUUGUUGAUGCCCUACUUCCAGGAAAAGCCUCUAAGCUUCAGUUUAUAUCGAAUCGUACCCUAAACCGACACAGGUGGUCAGGUAGAGAAUACUAAGGCGCUUGAGAGAACUCGGGUGAAGGAACUAGGCAAAAUUGUACCGUAACUUCGGGAGAAGGUACGCUCUUACUUGUGAAGACUUCGCGUCGUAAGCAGGCGAGAGCCGCAGUGACCAGGUGGCUGGGACUGUUUAUUAAAAACACAGCACUGUGCAAAAUCGUAAGAUGACGUAUACGGUGUGACACCUGCCCGGUGCCGGAAGGUUAAUUGAUGGGGUUAGCUUAGGCGAAGCUCUUGAUCGAAGCCCCGGUAAACGGCGGCCGUAACUAUAACGGUCCUAAGGUAGCGAAAUUCCUUGUCGGGUAAGUUCCGACCUGCACGAAUGGUGUAACCAUGGCCACGCUGUCUCCACCCGAGACUCAGUGAAAUUGAAAUCGCAGUGAAGAUGCUGUGUACCCGCGGCUAGACGGAAAGACCCCGUGAACCUUUACUACAGCUUGGCACUGAACAUUGACCCUACAUGUGUAGGAUAGGUGGGAGGCUUUGAAGCGCAGUCGCUAGAUUGCGUGGAGCCGUCCUUGAAAUACCACCCUUGUAGUGUUGAUGUUCUAACUUAGGCCCCUAAUCGGGGUUGAGGACAGUGCCUGGUGGGUAGUUUGACUGGGGCGGUCUCCUCCCAAAGAGUAACGGAGGAGCACGAAGGUUGGCUAAGUACGGUCGGACAUCGUACGGUUAGUGUAAUGGUAGAAGCCAGCUUAACUGCGAGACAGACACGUCGAGCAGGUACGAAAGUAGGUCAUAGUGAUCCGGUGGUUCUGAAUGGAAGGGCCAUCGCUCAACGGAUAAAAGGUACUCCGGGGAUAACAGGCUGAUACCGCCCAAGAGUUCAUAUCGACGGCGGUGUUUGGCACCUCGAUGUCGGCUCAUCACAUCCUGGGGCUGAAGUCGGUCCCAAGGGUAUGGCUGUUCGCCAUUUAAAGUGGUACGCGAGCUGGGUUUAGAACGUCGUGAGACAGUUCGGUCCCUAUCUGCCGUGGGCGUUUGAGAAUUGAGAGGGGCUGCUCCUAGUACGAGAGGACCGGAGUGGACGAACCGCUGGUGUUCGGGUUGUCAUGCCAAUGGCAUUGCCCGGUAGCUACGUUCGGAAUCGAUAACCGCUGAAAGCAUCUAAGCGGGAAGCGAGCCUCGAGAUGAGUUCUCACUUUGACUUUAAGUUAACUGAAGGGCCGUUGAAGACUACAACGUUGAUAGGCGAGAUGUGGAAGUGGUGUGAGCCAUUGAGCUAACUCGUACUAAUUACCCGUGAGGCUUAACCAUACAACGCCAAAGUGGUUU
rnacentral:rRNA from 1 species